GGGACACGUGGUAUCCUGUCUGAAUAUGGGGGGACCAUCCUCCAAGGCUAAAUACUCCUGACUGACCGAUAGUGAACCAGUACCGUGAGGGAAAGGCGAAAAGAACCCCGGCGAGGGGAGUGAAAAAGAACCUGAAACCGUGUACGUACAAGCAGUGGGAGCCUCUUAAUGGGGUGACUGCGUACCUUUUGUAUAAUGGGUCAGCGACUUAUAUUCUGUAGCAAGGUUAACCGAAUAGGGGAGCCGAAGGGAAACCGAGUCUUAACUGGGCGUUAAGUUGCAGGGUAUAGACCCGAAACCCGGUGAUCUAGCCAUGGGCAGGUUGAAGGUUGGGUAACACUAACUGGAGGACCGAACCGACUAAUGUUGAAAAAUUAGCGGAUGACUUGUGGCUGGGGGUGAAAGGCCAAUCAAACCGGGAGAUAGCUGGUUCUCCCCGAAAGCUAUUUAGGUAGCGCCUCGUGAAUUCAUCUCCGGGGGUAGAGCACUGUUUCGGCAAGGGGGUCAUCCCGACUUACCAACCCGAUGCAAACUGCGAAUACCGGAGAAUGUUAUCACGGGAGACACACGGCGGGUGCUAACGUCCGUCGUGAAGAGGGAAACAACCCAGACCGCCAGCUAAGGUCCCAAAGUCAUGGUUAAGUGGGAAACGAUGUGGGAAGGCCCAGACAGCCAGGAUGUUGGCUUAGAAGCAGCCAUCAUUUAAAGAAAGCGUAAUAGCUCACUGGUCGAGUCGGCCUGCGCGGAAGAUGUAACGGGGCUAAACCAUGCACCGAAGCUGCGGCAGCGACACUAUGUGUUGUUGGGUAGGGGAGCGUUCUGUAAGCCUGUGAAGGUGGCCUGUGAGGGUUGCUGGAGGUAUCAGAAGUGCGAAUGCUGACAUAAGUAACGAUAAAGCGGGUGAAAAGCCCGCUCGCCGGAAGACCAAGGGUUCCUGUCCAACGUUAAUCGGGGCAGGGUGAGUCGACCCCUAAGGCGAGGCCGAAAGGCGUAGUCGAUGGGAAACAGGUUAAUAUUCCUGUACUUGGUGUUACUGCGAAGGGGGGACGGAGAAGGCUAUGUUGGCCGGGCGACGGUUGUCCCGGUUUAAGCGUGUAGGCUGGUUUUCCAGGCAAAUCCGGAAAACCAAGGCUGAGGCGUGAUGACGAAGCACUACGGUGCUGAAGCGACAAAUGCCCUGCUUCCAGGAAAAGCCUCUAAGCAUCAGGUAACAUCAAAUCGUACCCCAAACCGACACAGGUGGUCAGGUAGAGAAUACCAAGGCGCUUGAGAGAACUCGGGUGAAGGAACUAGGCAAAAUGGUGCCGUAACUUCGGGAGAAGGCACGCUGAUAUGUAGGUGAAGCGACUUGCUCGUGGAGCUGAAAUCAGUCGAAGAUACCAGCUGGCUGCAACUGUUUAUUAAAAACACAGCACUGUGCAAACACGAAAGUGGACGUAUACGGUGUGACGCCUGCCCGGUGCCGGAAGGUUAAUUGAUGGGGUUAGCGGCAACGCGAAGCUCUUGAUCGAAGCCCCGGUAAACGGCGGCCGUAACUAUAACGGUCCUAAGGUAGCGAAAUUCCUUGUCGGGUAAGUUCCGACCUGCACGAAUGGCGUAAUGAUGGCCAGGCUGUCUCCACCCGAGACUCAGUGAAAUUGAACUCGCUGUGAAGAUGCAGUGUACCCGCGGCAAGACGGAAAGACCCCGUGAACCUUUACUAUAGCUUGACACUGAACAUUGAGCCUUGAUGUGUAGGAUAGGUGGGAGGCUUUGAAGUGUGGACGCCAGUCUGCAUGGAGCCGACCUUGAAAUACCACCCUUUAAUGUUUGAUGUUCUAACGUUGGCCCGUAAUCCGGGUUGCGGACAGUGUCUGGUGGGUAGUUUGACUGGGGCGGUCUCCUCCUAAAGAGUAACGGAGGAGCACGAAGGUUGGCUAAUCCUGGUCGGACAUCAGGAGGUUAGUGCAAUGGCAUAAGCCAGCUUGACUGCGAGCGUGACGGCGCGAGCAGGUGCGAAAGCAGGUCAUAGUGAUCCGGUGGUUCUGAAUGGAAGGGCCAUCGCUCAACGGAUAAAAGGUACUCCGGGGAUAACAGGCUGAUACCGCCCAAGAGUUCAUAUCGACGGCGGUGUUUGGCACCUCGAUGUCGGCUCAUCACAUCCUGGGGCUGAAGUAGGUCCCAAGGGUAUGGCUGUUCGCCAUUUAAAGUGGUACGCGAGCUGGGUUUAGAACGUCGUGAGACAGUUCGGUCCCUAUCUGCCGUGGGCGCUGGAGAACUGAGGGGGGCUGCUCCUAGUACGAGAGGACCGGAGUGGACGCAUCACUGGUGUUCGGGUUGUCAUGCCAAUGGCACUGCCCGGUAGCUAAAUGCGGAAGAGAUAAGUGCUGAAAGCAUCUAAGCACGAAACUUGCCCCGAGAUGAGUUCUCCCUGAGACUUAGAGUCUCCUGAAGGAACGUUGAAGACGACGACGUUGAUAGGCCGGGUGUGUAAGCGCAGCGAUGCGUUGAGCUAACCGGUACUAAUGAACCGUGAGGCUUAACCUU
rnacentral:rRNA from 1 species